UGAAGAUGUGUUCUGAGCUUUGGAUGAGCAUGGAUACCAAUGGCAAGGUGGUUUCUCUUUCAAGUGGAAUUUCACAGGAAUUCGUCUUCUUGCAGUGUCAGAACCACAGCAGUUGCAGUAUGGAUGGCUACAUCAAUGCAGGACACAAUAUUUCCGUAUCAGAGCACACAAUAUAUUCUGAAACCUCCACAGAAGCU